rnacentral:rRNA from 1 species
UACGGAGGGAGCUAGCGUUAUUCGGAAUUACUGGGCGUAAAGCGCACGUAGGCGGCUUUGUAAGUUAGAGGUGAGAGCCUGGAGCUCAACUCCAGAAUUGCCUUUAAGACUGCAUCGCUUGAAUCCAGGAGAGGUGAGUGGAAUUCCGAGUGUAGAGGUGAAAUUCGUAGAUAUUCGGAAGAACACCAGUGGCGAAGGCGGCUCACUGGACUGGUAUUGACGCUGAGGUGCGAAAGCGUGGGGAGCAAACAGG